rnacentral:rRNA from 1 species
CAGCAGCCACGGUAAUACGGAGGGUGCAAGCGUUAUCCGGAUUUAUUGGGUUUAAAGGGUCCGUAGGCGGAUCUGUAAGUCAGUGGUGAAAUCUCACAGCUUAACUGUGAAACUGCCAUUGAUACUGCAGGUCUUGAGUAAAUUUGAAGUGGCUGGAAUAAGUAGUGUAGCGGUGAAAUGCAUAGAUAUUACUUAGAACACCAAUUGCGAAGGCAGGUCACUAAGAUUUAACUGACGCUGAUGGACGAAAGCGUGGGGAGCGAACAGGAUUAGAUACCCGGGUAGUCCCUGUCUCUUAUAC